rnacentral:rRNA from 1 species
UACGGAGGGUGCAAGCGUUAUCCGGAUUUAUUGGGUUUAAAGGGUCCGUAGGCGGAUGCGUAAGUCAGUGGUGAAAUCUCACAGCUCAACUGUGAAACUGCCAUUGAUACUGCGUGUCUUGAGUGAGGUUGAAGUAGCUGGAAUAAGUAGUGUAGCGGUGAAAUGCAUAGAUAUUACUUAGAACACCAAUUGCGAAGGCAGGUUACUAAGUCUCAACUGACGCUGAUGGACGAAAGCGUGGGGAGCGAACAGGAUUAGAUACCCUGGUAGUCCACGCUGUAAACGAUGCUAACUCGUUUUUGGGGAUUUAUCUUCAGAGACUAAGCGAAAGUGAUAAGUUAGCCACCUGGGGAGUACGAACGCAAGUUUGAA